AAUCAACGCUGGCGGUGUGCCUCAGACAUGCAAGUCGAACGCGAAAUUUCCCUUCGGGGAGAAAGUAGAGUGGCGCACGGGUGAGUAACACGUAGGUAAUUUGCCUUUGGGUGGGGAAUAACUCAGGGAAACUUGAGCUAAUACCGCAUAAUGCAGCGGCUCGACAUCGAGACAGUUGUUAAAGCGGGGGAUCGCAAGACCUCGCGCCUAAAGAGAAGCCUGCGGCAGAUUAGCUAGUUGGUAGGGUAAUGGCCUACCAAGGCAACGAUCUGUAACCGGCCUGAGAGGGCGGUCGGUCAGACUGACACUGACAUACGGGUCAGACUCCUACGGGAGGCAGCAGUCGGGAAUUUUGGGCAAUGGGCGAAAGCCUGACCCAGCAACGCCGCGUGAAGGAUGAAAUCCCUCGGGAUGUAAACUUCGCAAGAACGGGAAGAAUAAGUAGAAGAUAAUACCUUCUAUGAUGACGGUACCGUUUGUAAGCU
rnacentral:rRNA from 1 species